ensembl:lncRNA
CCCGGCGUCGCCUGGCGGUCGCGCUCCGUGCGGAGAACAUCUGGGGCAGACGGGCCGUCUCGGACUCGCUACAAAUCGGGCGCCCGGGGAGAAGCGCAGGGCCAUCGGGGGCCGAACCCAGCGCGCGCACCAACCCACCCGGGCAUAGAGGCAGACCCGCGUUCCGGGGAACCCUCCGCCCAUCUGGCGGGGGCCCCCGGGUGGCGGGUCACGGUUGCAAAUCGGUCAGAAUUUUCACGUAAAGCAUUUCCUCCACCGGCGCGCCCCGGCCGAAGCCAAAGCGCCCGGGGACGGCGCACCGCCGGCGGGCGCGCGCACCGGAGGCGGGCCGCCCCGCCUCCGCUCAAGCAAUCUCGUUCGAUCAAAGUGUUUCACCCACCGGCGCGCCCCGGCCGAAGCCAGGGCGCACCGGAGGCGGGCCGCCCCGCCGCCAUCUCUCUCGCUCAGCGAUCCAGCCGCGAAACCCACCGACCAGCCACAGUGCCCGGAACGAGGCUCCGGUUCGUUCACCCUCGCCACUGUCCGAGGGCGUCCGAAAAUACUGAGGUCUGAGUCGGAUCCAAAACGCACAAACGUCGGUCCUCACUCCUGGAGGCCUAUGUUUCUAAAAACCAGGUUUCUGAAAUCUGCGACCUGGUGGCCCAGUGAUGUCGGCUACAACUUUUUUUUUCCGGUCCGAUCAAAAUUCUCCAGGCAUUUUCUGAGCUUUCCUUCACAUAGUCCGACUUUUACUUAGUUUCUGACGGAGCCAAAAAAGUCCGGGUUUUUUUGCCCUCCUUAUCGUCCCGACUGGAAACUUUAACUCCGGAUUUUAAGUCAGAAAAUUAAAGUCCUUUUCAUCCAGGAGACCGACCCUUCCUGCAAAGCGUCCCAAAUGGUCCUUCGUCGUCGGAUAUCUGUCGGGAAAUACCGCUCCAUGGAACUGUUUAUUUCAUCCAUCCACUGCACCUGCUGUUCUGACAUCAGCAUCCGAGAAUAGUGUCCCGUACUGGGACAUGGUCUGGGUUCUGCCGCUCUCUGGAACUCUGUAUUCAUCCAUGCGUUACACCUGCUGUUCUGACAUCAGCAUCCGAGAAUAGUGUGUCGUUCUGGGACAUGGUCUGGGAUCUCCUGCUCUAUGGAACUGUUUACUUCAUCCAUCCACUGCACCUGCUGUUCUGCCAUCAGUGUCCGAGAACAGUGCUUCUUCAUCGGAUAUCAGCCGGGAUCUCACGCUCUCUGGAACUGUUUAAUUCAUCCAUCCACUGCACCUGCUGUUCUGCCAUCAGUGUCCGACAACGGCGCUUCAUCACCGGAUAACUGCCGUGAAAUACCGCUCUCUGGAACUGUUUAUUUCAUCCACCGCACCUGCUGUUCUGCCAUCAGUGUCCGACAACAGCGCUUCAUCAUCGGAUAACUGCCGUGAAAUACCGCUCUCUGGAACUGUUUCUUUCAUCCAUCCACCGCACCUGCUGUUCUGCCAUCAGUGUCCGACAAUAAAGCUUCGUCAUCGGAUAACUGCCGUGAGAUACCGCUCUCUGGAACUGUUUAAUUCAUCCAUCCACUGCACCUGCUGUUCUGCCAUCAGUGUCCGAGAACAGUGUGUCGUUCUGGGUCAUGGUCUGGGAUCUCACGCUCUCUGGAACUGUUUAAUUCAUCCAUCCACUGCACCUGCUGUUCUGCCAUCAGUGUCCGACAAUAGCGCUUCUUCAUCGGAUAUCAGCCGGGAUCUCACGCUCUCUGGAACUGUUUAUUUCAUCCACCGCACCUGCUGUUCUGCCAUCAGUGUCCGACAACAGCGCUUCAUCAUCGGAUAACUGCCGUGAAAUUCCGCUCUCUGGAACUGUUUAUUUCAUCCACCGCACCUGCUGUUCUGCCAUCAGUGUCCGACAACAGCGCUUCAUCAUCGGAUAUCUGCCGUGAAAUACCGCUCUCUGGAUCUGCUCUGUUCUGGCAGGUAAUCAGGGAGAUUUUAAGUAGAUGAGUGUCCGGGAAUAGUGGGCCGUUCUGGGACUUGGUCUGGGAUAUCACGCUCUCUGGAACUAUGUUCUGUUUAUUUCCUUCAUCCAGUGCACCUGCUGUUCUGCCAUCAGUGUCCGACAAUAGCGCGCCGUUCUGGGACUUGGUCUGGGAUAUCACGCUCUCUGGAACUAUGUUCUGUUUAUUUCCUUCAUCCAGUGCACCUGCUGUUCUGCCAUCAGUGUCCGACAAUGGCGCUUCAUCAUCGGAUAUCUGUCGUGAAAUACCGCUCUCUGGAACUGUGUAUUAGUCCGUCCGCUGCACCUGCUGUUCUGACAUCAGCAUCCGAGAAUAGUGCGCCGUUCU